rnacentral:rRNA from 1 species
GUAGGUGGCAAGCGUUGUCCGGAAUUAUUGGGCGUAAAGCGCGCGCAGGUGGUUCUUUAAGUCUGAUGUGAAAGCCCCCGGCUCAGCCGGGGAGGGUCAUUGGAAACUGGGGAACUUGAGUGCAGGAGAGGAAAGUGGAAUUCCACGUGUAGCGGUGAAAUGCGUAGAUAUGUGGAGGAACACCAGUGGCGAAGGCGACUUUCUGGCCUGUAACUGACACUGAGGCGCGAAAGCGUGGGGAGCAAACAGGGAUUAGAUACCCUGGUAGUCCACGCCGUAAACGAUGAGUGCUAAGUGUUGGGGGGGGUUUCCGCCCCCUCAGUGCUGCAGCUAACGCAUUAAGCACUCCGCCCUGGGAUACGGUCGCAAGACUG